rnacentral:RNase_P_RNA from 1 species
AAGGAAAGUUAUUAAUUUAAUAAUUUAUGUAUAAUAUUUAAGUCUAAGUAAAGGUUUUCAAUAGAGAAUAUAAAUAAGUUAAUAAAUAUUGUUAUGGCGUAAGCACCGCUUCGCGGCUAAAUAUAAUAAAAUAACUUAUUUUGGAAAAUCAAGCUCAUCUAAAAUUUUUUUUUAGUAAGAAAUUAUCACAAGAUAUAGCUUAAAUUAUUCCUAAAUACUAUACCAGUUUGUAAAUCAACUGUACGAAUAUUUAUGGCGGCUAUACGACAAAGUAGCCGCCAAAAAUUUUUAUAC